CCUACGGGGGGCAGCAGUAGGGAAUCUUCCACAAUGGACGAAAGUCUGAUGGAGCAACGCCGCGUGAGUGAAGAAGGGUUUCGGCUCGUAAAGCUCUGUUGGUAGUGAAGAAAGAUAGAGGUAGUAACUGGCCUUUUUUUGACGGUAAUUACUUAGAAAGUCACGGCUAACUACGUGCCAGCAGCCGCGGUAAUACGUAGGUGGCAAGCGUUGUCCGGAUUUAUUGGGCGUAAAGCGAGUGCAGGCGGUUUAAUAAGUCUGAUGUGAAAGCCUUCGGCUCAACCGGAGAAUUGCAUCAGAAACUGUUGAACGUGAGUGCAGAAGAGGAGAGUGGAACUCCAUGUGUAGCGGUGGAAUGCGUAGAUAUAUGGAAGAACACCAGUGGCGAAGGCGGCUCUCUGGUCUGCAACUGACGCUGAGGCUCGAAAGCAUGGGUAGCGAACAGGAUUAGAUACCCUUGUAGUC
rnacentral:rRNA from 1 species